GCUCCCUUCAGCAGCACAUAUACUAAAAACUGGAAUGGUACAGAGAUUAGCAAGGCCUCUGUGUAAGGAUGAGAUGCAAAUUCAUAAAGUGUUCCAUAUUUUU
ensembl:snRNA Gm22281 predicted gene, 22281